rnacentral:piRNA from 1 species
UGAUAAUCUUGAGGGCAAAUGUUGCCGGA